rnacentral:tRNA from 1 species
ACGGAUAUGAUGGAAUUGGUAGACAUGCUAGAUUUAGGUUCUAGUGGGCGCCCCCAUGAGGGUUCAAGUCCCUCUAUCCGUA